UACAAAGGGGGCAAGCGUUGUUCGGAAUUACUGGGCGUAAAGGGCGCGUAGGCGGCCUUCUAAGUCAGACGUGAAAUCCCUCGGCUCAACCGGGGAACUGCGUCUGAGACUGGAAGGCUUGAAUCCGGGAGAGGGAUGUGGAAUUCCAGGUGUAGCGGUGAAAUGCGUAGAUAUCUGGAGGAACACCGGUGGCGAAGGCGGCAUCCUGGACCGGUAUUGACGCUGAGGCGCGAAAGCCGGGGGAGCAAACGGG
rnacentral:rRNA from 1 species